UCACCGCUGAGUCACUGCUGAGGGUCGC
rnacentral:sRNA from 1 species